GCCAGAGAUGGGAUGGCGACUAUAAGUGCAAGGACACAAGGUUAAGGAUGCCAGUACUAUUGUUGGAAGGCUGCUCAAAAUGAUCUGAACGCAAAGAAUAAGAAGUCUCUCUUGGAAGAGCUGCCCAGAUUUCUGCAAAAUUAUGCUUGUUUUAAAACAAGAGGAGUUCAGUAAACCCAGCUGGAUCACAGACUGUCAUCAAAGAAGCAUUCUAAGGCCAGCAUGUAUUUGAUGCCAAUUGUCUAAAAAUAAAUGAAGACUUUGCCACUAGAGAAUAAUUGUUUAGGACCUUUGCAAUGGAUAGUAGCUUUUAAAAAAUAAAAAAAUAAAAUCUGGAGAAAGAAGAUGCUCUGAUUAAAGACCACACACAUGUUUUAAAGCUACAGUUCAUUUUGCUCAACAAUGCAAGCAAUUGUGUAGGUAAAGAUUCCAAAAAAUCUCCGUGCACACCCAGUAUCUAACAUUAACACAUUUGAGUGCAAUUUAAGCAUUGUAGGUUCAAUUAGUCAGGUCAAAAGUUCUAAUGUAGAUGUGCAAACAAGACUGCUAUUGACAACAGAAAGGACCAGUUUCUUUUUG